rnacentral:rRNA from 1 species
UACGUAGGGUGCAAGCGUUAAUCGGAAUUACUGGGCGUAAAGCGUGCGCAGGCGGUUUUGUAAGUCUGUCGUGAAAUCCCCGGGCUCAACCUGGGAACUGCAUUCGAGACUGGAUUACUAGAGUAUGGGAGAGGGAAGUGGAAUUUCCGGUGUAGCGGUGAAAUGCGUAGAUAUCGGAAGGAACAUCAGUGGCGAAAGCGACUUCCUGGACCAAUACUGACGCUCAUGUGCGAAAGCGUGGGGAGCAAACAGG